GGGAAACGCCAAAUUUGCAGGUAUUACAAUAGUAUUUGUCAUGGUCUUACAGGCUAACAAAUCUCUCCUCUCUGUGUGUGAGGCUUGGGUGUGAAUGAAUGAUAUGGCACUUAUUUUCACACCGUAUUUGCUAUAUUUUGAUCAAAUCUGAUAGACCGUGCUCUCAGUGACUGACUUCAAUUUGCAGGAUCAGAAAUCUGUAAUUACCUGACUUCGAUCCUCUUAGGGUUCUUAAAGAUUAUGCUGCACGCAGUCUAUACUACACACAGCAGCCUCUCUCUCUCUCUUUCGCUCUCUCUCUCUCUUUCGCUCUGUUUCUCUGUCUCUAUCUCUCUCUCUCUCCAUAGAGGGAGUAGUGUGUUUGUGAGAUUAGAAUACUUUUCUUUCAUUUCAAAGGGCCAAUUCUAUUACUGUAAAAUAGGUUUUGUAAAUAAGAGGCUGUAUCAUGCAAGUUACAUUCGCUACAGUUGUUCCAUUAUACUCUGUUAUGUUUAGGGGAUUCGAUUAUUUUCUAGGGCUGGGGUGUCAAACUCAUUCCAUGGAGGGCCUAGUGACUGCAGGUUUGAGUUUUUUCCUUUCAGUUAAUAAGCCCUAAACAACCAGGUGUGGGGUGUUCCUUACUAAUUAGUCACCUUAAUUCAUCAAUCAAGUACAAGGGAGGAGUGGAAACCCACAGACACUUGGCCUUCCUUGGAAUGAGUUUGAUACCUGUGUUCUAGGGCUUCCAUUCAACAGUUCUAUGUUCUAAAUUCUAUCACAGUAAUUGAAAGCUACAUGUUCACAUGUUUACAGCUUUUGCUUGGUUUAUGGAUAGUCUAAUACAAUUGGUAUUCUAGUCGCAGAGUAUAGUGUAUACCCAACUGAUAUUUCAGCGUUCCAAUUGCAGGAGUACAUGCAGACCGAUAUAUUUAUUGAACACUAAGUUGGUUUUAAUAUUGAUACUGAACAAAAAUUAGGAUUGGGGGAAAUAUUUUGCAUUGCUAUGUCAAAGGUGGAGGAAUACAUGCUUUAUUAAAUCCCCCUAAAACGUAAUGUUAAUUUCCUCCUUUUCAUUACGAAUUAAAGUUUAGGAGUUUUAGGAUUGGUUAAUGAGCGCAUUGAAAACCCUUAGCAAGGACAUUAUCAUCUAGAGCUCUUCUUCUCUCCCAUAGAACUAUCCUCUGGUUAAUGGGGUCACCCGUAAUUAUCAUGCCAUUAAUAUAACGCCGUGCCCCUUCCUGUGACUCCAGAUAAAGAGAGAAGAUGGAAGCAAGCAGCAAUCCAACAAAAUGAUUUGAAAGGUUCUUAACAGAGGACAAAGUUGUUGUCUCUCUCUUUCUCUCUUUCUUUCUCACUCUCUCUUCACCUGAGGCCCCUGUUCUCUAUUCUAAGUGGACAACAUUAUCAUGCAAGCGAGCAUCGCCCUUAGGAUGCCAAGGGAUCUAAUCAGGGCCAGGUAAAGACCUGUCAAAGUGGGAGGAAGACAGGGAGGUAGUGACAGCCGGAGGAGAUUGUAUUGAUUUUCAGUUCACCACAUCCCUCUACGUGUUUAAUGUACACAAAGCUCCUGUAUUAUGCAGUAGGAAACAAAUGGCAGCGAAGAGACGUGCGAAGGCAAUAAACAACACUGUCUCACAGGUAUACCCAAUAAAUUAAAAGUGCUAACCCAACAUGAAUUGAAAGUGGUAGAUGUAUGAAUGUAUGUCAGGAAUCAACCCCCAGCACCAUCUUCACCAUCACCAUCAAAUUUUCACACCCCGUGCGAGAUACACCUCUUGUGUAUCUGCUGAAGGAAAAUGAUAACACCAGGACGUUUACAAUCAUGUGGUUUCCCUCCACGGAUAACGUGUAAAUAUGAAUGAGCUGGUUUGGAUGUAGCCGACCCAGUUGAUUAAACAAAUAGCAGAUGCUCCAUUGAUAUGAUCACUUUUAACUCAUUAUCUAUUUUUGAUCUAUUAUCUCCAUUAUUUGUAAAUGUAUUUGUCAAACGCUCUAUUUAUGGCAGAGGGAAGGAUAAUUAUGGGUUGUAUAUGCUAUAUACUGUAUAAUUAUACAAUAUUUUAUUGUACUAUAUUAAUAUAUAUGAUUUACAACUCUCCUGAUUUGGUUCACAAACGUUAAUGUCUCUGACACCGUAGUAGUAUAACGUUUAACCAAUCAUAGUAUAACACACAAUUCCCAGAAAGGAUUUCUCUUUAGCACAGCGCCUGCUUUUCUCGCCAGUGAACCCAUCGAGGAGCAGUGUAGCAGAAUAAACGGCUGUAACUCCAACUAAUGUCCUUGAGCUGCUCGGAGAGAGACCUCUGGUCUAUAAACAUGGGAUCCACGGCAGCUCACAAGGAAAGCACGCCGCAGUGCGAAGGAAACCUGUCAACUAAAAUCAAGACGUUGCAUUCCCAGCUCCUGUUCCAGCUGUAUAGCACCACAGAAUGGAAUGCCCUUUAAAGUUCCACUAGAUUCUGUUGAUUGGGAAAGUAAGAAGGGAAAAUUACAUGCUAUGAUUUCAGGCCAUAUGGUGAAUAUGAUUUGCUGUUAAAUUUCCGAUAUUUUGUUUAGCCAAUUUUAAGUUAGUAGUCUUGGUAGAGCAUGGCACUUGCAAUGGCAGGGUGGUGGGCUCCAUUCCCACGGGGAACCAUUAUGAAAAUGUAUGCGCUCUGGAUAAGAGUGUCUGCUAAAUAACGUACAUUUAAAAUGUAGUUCAUGAAUGGUACUCUUAGACCUACGAUUGAUUGAGAGAUAGGUGUGUGAGUACCCUCACCAAGGCUUACAUGUACCCACUGAAAAUGUCUGGGGAGUUCAGCACACAGUGUAAGGAUAUGCAGCUUGGGAGCUUUGUUGACUUUGUCACACUGCAGUAUGACAGAAAUGGCCUACAAUUCACAUGGAGGAGGCUGGUGGGAGGAGCUAUAGGUGGACAGGCUCAUUGUAAUGGCUGGAAUGGAAUCAAUGGAACGGAGUCAUUACAUUCCAGCAAUUACAAUGAGCCAGUCCUCCUAUAGCUCCUCCCACCAGCCUCCUCUGAAUUCACAGUAUUCAUUGAAAAAUCUGUGACCAUAUUUCCCCCAGCAAAUGUUUUAAAAUCUUAAAUGUUCUACAAUCAUAACCAUACAAAGCCUACAUGCCUGUAUGUAAUAACUAUAAUCACUAAUAUCCUUUCCCACAAUUCUUUCAGUUCAGCAUAAAUACCACUCACUGAUAAAGAGGCAUUACCCCUCUCUGAGGGUGUCUCAGGGGGAGUGGGAUAUGCUAGACACAUAUUUCCAUUUCACACCACACACUUGUACAGGUUACAUAUUUGUACAUGUUGUCACACCCUAAUCUGUUUCACCUGUCUUGUGCUUGUCUCCAGGUGUCUCCGAUUUUCCCCCAUUAUCCCCUGUGUACUUGUCUUUUCAAGUCUUACCAGCUUGUUUUCACGUUUUCCAGUAUCUCUAGUUUAUGUUUUCAAGUCUUCCCAGUUCUGAUCAUUCUGCCUGCCCUGAGCCUUCCUGCCGUUCUGCCCUUGAUAAACGCUGCCUUGGAUUACUGACCACUGCCUGCCCUUGACCUGCCAUUUGCCUGCCCCCUGUUUUGUAAUAAACAUCUGAGAUUCUAAAUGUCUGCUGCCUGUGUUUGCAUCUGGGUCUUAUUCUGUGUUGUGUUAGCAUGACUGACCCAGCAGACUCGGACCAGCUCCGCAACACUGUCACCAUCGGAAGACACGAGGAGUUACUUAGAAAUCUUAUGGAAGCAUUCCAGAUCUUAGUAGCGCGUUUGGGUAGUGGCUGGUUACAGUACUGUGAGACUCAGGUGCGUGCCCGCGUCGACCGAAUGCUUUGUUUUCUUUCCUCUGUUUACCUAAAUGCAGAUUCCCGGUCGGAAUAUUAUCGCUUUUUUACGAGAAAAAUGGCAUAAAUAUUGAUUUUAAACAGCGGUUGACAUGCUUCGAAGUACAGUAAUGGAAUAUUUAGAAAUCUUUUGUCACGAAUUGCGCCAUGCUCGUAACCCUUAUUUACACUUCGGAUAGUGUCUAGAACGCACGAACAAAACGCCGCUAUUUGGAUAUAACGAUGGAUUAUUUUGGACCAAACCAACAUUUGUUAUUGAAGUAGCUGUCCUGGGAGUGCAUUCUGACGAAGACAACAAAGGUAAUCAAACUUUUGUAAUAGUAAAUCGGAGUUUGGUCAGGGCUAAACUUGGUCGGUGUCUAAAUGGCUAGCCGUGAUGGCUGGGCUAUCUACUGAGAAUAUUGCAAAAUGUGCUUUCACCGAAAAGCUAUUUUAAAAUCGGACAUAUCGAGUGCAUAGAGGAGUUCUGUAUCUAUAAUUCUUAAAAUAAUUGUUAUGUUUUUUGUGAACGUUUAUCGUGAGUAAUUUAGUAAAUUCACCGGAUGUUUGCGGGGGGUAUGCUAGUCCUGAACGUCACAUGCUAAUGUAAAAAAGCUGGUUUUUGAUAUAAAUAUGAACUUGAUUGAACAAAACAUGCAUACAUUGUAUAACAUAAUGUCCUAGGUGUGUCAUCUGAUGAAGAUCAUCAAAUGUUAGUGCUGCAUUUAGCUGUGGUUUUGUUUUUUGUGACAUUAUAUGCUAGCUUGAAAAAUGGGUGUCUGAUUAUUUCUGGCUGGGUACUCUGCUGACAUAAUAUAAUGUUUUGCUUUCGCUGUAAAGCCUUUUUGAAAUCGGACAGUGUGGUUAGAUUAACCUGUUAUGGCUAGGGGGCAGUAUUUUCACGGCUGGAUAAAAAACGUACCCGAUUUAAUCUGGUUACUACUCCUGCCCAGUAACUAGAAUAUGCAUAUAAUUAUUGGCUUUGGAUAGAAAACACCCUAAAGUUUCUAAAACUGUUUGAAUGAUGUCUGUGAGUUAACAGAACUCAUAUGGCAGGCAAAAACCUUAGAAGAUUUCAUGCAGGAAGUGGCCUGUCUGACAAGGUGUCGUUCUUCUUGUCUCUGUUUAUUGAAGAGUGAGGAUCUUAGCUGUCCCGUGACACUUCCUACGGCUGCCAUAGGGUCUCAGAAGGCGGUAAAAAGCUGAAUCGUGGCUUUGCAGGCUCUGGCUGAAAAAAAGUAGCGCGUUUGGGUAGUGGCUGGUUACAGUACUGUGAGACUCAGGCUCGUGCCCGCGUCGACCGAAAGCUUUGUUUACUUUCCUCUGUUUAGCUAAAUGGACAUUCCCGGUCGGAAUAUUAUCGCUUUUUUACGAGAAAAAUGGCAUAAAAAUGGAUUUUAAACAGCGGUUGACAUGCUUCGAAGUACGGUAAUGGAAUAUUUAGAUUUUUUUUGUCACGAAUUGCGCCAUGCGCACGACCCUUAUUUACCAUUUAGGAUAGUGUCUGGGACGCACGAACAAAACGCCGCUAUUCGGAUAUAACGAUGGAUUAUUUUGGACCAAACCAACAUUUGUUAUUGAAGUAGAAGUCCUGGGAGUGCAUUCUGACGAAGACAACAAAAGGUAAUCUAACUUUUAUAAUAGUAAAUCUGAUAUUGGUGAGUGCUAAACUUGCCGGGUGUCUAAAUAGCUACCCCGUGAUGGCUGGGCAAUGUACUUAGAAUAUUGCAAAAUGUGCUUUCACCAAAAAGCUAUUUUAAAAUCGGACAUAUCGAGUGCAUAGAGGAGUUCUGUAUCUAUAAUUCUUAAAAUAAUUGUUAUGCUUUUUGUGAACGUUUAUCGUGAGAAAUUUAGUAAAUUGUUAGCAAAUUCCUCCGGAAGUUUGCGGGGGGGUAUGCUAGUUCUGAACGUCACAUGCUAAUGUAAAAAGCUGUUUUUUGAUAUUAAUAUGAACUUGAUUGAACAAAACAUGCAUGUAUUGUAUAACAUAAUGUCCUAGGUGUGUCAUCUGAUGAAGAUCAUCAAAGGUUAGUGCUGCAUUUAGCUGUCUUCUGGGUUUUUGUGACAUUAUAUGCUAGCUUGAAAAACGGGUGUCUGAUUAUUUCUGGCUUGGUACUCUGCUGACAUAAUCUAAUGUUUUGCUUUCGCUGUAAAGCCUUUUUGAAAUCGGACAGUGUGGUUAGAUAAAGGAGAGUCUUGUCUUUAAAAUGCUGUGAAAUAGUCAUAUGUUUGAAAAAUUGAAGUUUUUGUAUUUUUGAGGAAUUUGUAAUUCGCGCCACGCCUAUCAUUGGAUAUUGGAGCAGGUGUUCCGCUAGCGGAACGUCUAGAUGUAAGAGGUUAACGAGAGUCUUGUCUUUAAAAUGCUGUAAAAUAGUAAUAUGUUUGAAAAAUUGAAGUUUUCGGAUUUUAGAGGAGUUUGUAUUUCGCGCCACGCCCAUCAUUGGAUAUUGGAGCAGGUGUUCCGCUAGCGGAACGUCUAGAUGUAAGAGGUUUAAAGAAGAGCUCUCAGCCCAGUAGCUGCCCCAUGCAUUUCGAUUCUCAUUGCCUUGACCAUACGGAUCGAUGGGCGUCUACGGGAAUGUAGGAGGGAGAGGAGGUCUGUUCCCAGUCACACUCGCUCGUCCAAGGAUCCCACCUCGCCUCCGAGGAAUCCCGGAAGUCCCCAGCAUCUACAUUACCGAGAUAAUCCGAGGUUCCCCAAGUUCCCCCGACUCGCCUCCUCCGGAGCCUAUGGAACUUGGCAGAGCUAGAUUGCCUCCUGUCGAACGUUUAUGCUGACUGGACAACAAGAGCUGUCUGUAUUGUGGAACUACAGGUCAUUACAUUUCUACCUGUCCAUUAAAAGACCAGGCUCAUCAGUAGGUACAAGUACGCUGGUGGGCAAUGGGGAGAUUUCCAAUUUCCCAUUACGCGUACCCCUCUCCAUGCCAUCCAGCUGUGGGGUGACAGGUCAAAAUCUCUCCGGGUACUCAUUGACUCUGGGGCUGACAAGAGUUUUAUGGACACUACCUGGUGUCAGAGAUGGGAAUACCAACUCAACCCCUCUUCAUUCUCAUGGACGUCAGAGCGCUGGAUGGGCGCUCUAUUGGCAGUGUCACCCACAAUACGGUUCCUAUCAACAUGCGAGUGUCAGGGAACCACUGUGAGUCUAUGCAGUUUUUGUUCAUCGAAUCUCCUCAGGUACCCGUGGUUUUGAGGUUUUCAUGGUGGAAAGGUACAUCUGCCUCCCCCGCCGUGUAUCCACUACUGUGGCCUUAACUGGAUGUUUGUCCCAGACUCUUCUUGGUUCCCCGGUCCUGGAAUGGGCUCAUUCCUCUUGACUUGCCUAUCAUCCUGGCUUCCGUCAGACCCUGGCCCUUGUACAACAACAUUGUUGGGGGCCCACCAUGGUUUCUGAUGUUUCCGCAUUCAUCGCCGCCUGCACUGUGUGUGCUCAGAAUAAGACUUCGCAGCAAGCUACGGCUGGCCUCCUUCAACCACUCCCUGUUCCUCACCGUCCCUGGUCCCAUAUAUCACCCUCCCAUAUAUCACCCUCAAACAGUUGGCAAGACCACUAUCCCUAUGGUGGUGGAUAGGUUUUCCAAAGCCGCCAAUUUCAUUCCCCUUCCCAAGUUGCCCUUAGCCAAGGAGAUUCUUAGCCCCUUUGCUGUUCUUCUGUUGCCACACACCCUUCGUAUACAUUCCACUUUUCAUGUGUCUAGGAUUAAACCUAUGUCUCACAGGCCUUUGUCUCCCACCCCUCUCCCGCGUCUCAUCGGUGGCCAUCCGGUGGACACGGUGUGGCGCCUCCUGAGUGUUCGACCUCAGGGCAGGGGAUUCCAGUACCUGGUUGACUGGGAGGGUUAUGGCCCAGAAAAAAGGUGCUGGGUCCCCACUAGGAACAUCCUGGACCCAACCCUCAUCGCUGAGUCCAGCUGCCCGGCACCUCUGUCAACCAGUCUUCCCGGUUCUGACCAUUCUGCCUACCCUGAGUCUGCCUACCGUUCUGCCCGUGAUUGACGCUGCCUUGGAUUACUGACCUCUGCCUGCCCUUGACCUGCCGUUUGCCUGCCCCUUGUUUUGUAAUAAACAUCUGAGAUUCGAACUGUCUGCCUCCUGUGUCUGCAUUUUG
rnacentral:lncRNA from 1 species